rnacentral:lncRNA from 1 species
CCGGGUUCCCGGCGCCCCGCCUUCCCCAAUGCCCAUAAAAGCGCAUGUCCCCGUCUCGGUAGCCACUGGACACCUGCAUCUGCCAACAAGACCGGAAGCAGAAAGUGACAAAGACGGCGAAGUUUGACAGUCUGGAAAGCGGAGACCAGACGGGCUGACUACCUGAGAGCACCGCGACUCCGGACAGCGCCUCUCGGGGUCCGGGAUGGGCCCCGCUAUCUGCUUCAGCACCGUGGCUGCGGACAGCUCCUGGCGGAGGCCCGGGGCCCCCGACUUCGUUUCAGCACCCGGACAGCGGACAGCUCCCCGAGACUUCCGUGAGAAGCAUUGUGCCAAGCGUUUUGCAUAGAUUCUAUCAUGCCAUCUGCAAUCCUAGGACACGGGUGUUAUGAUGCCCAGGACCAGGAAUGGAAAACAGGAGGCGGUGGAGAAGCAAGAAGCCCGGGUGUUCCGGCUUGGCUCAGUUCCAGGGGCCAGUUACAGGACAGCUGUCCACUCGUGCCUGGUAGUUGUGGCAUCAUCAACGCCCACCCCAAAUUCUCUGUGACAUCCUAAUGAAGUCCAGAGACACCACGUCAAGCUCGUUCCAGCCUCAGAGUGCAUGCCUUUGCUGUUCCCUCAGCUUGGAAUGCUCUGCUCCCCAAGCACCCCAAGGCUCCCUCCGCCUUCUUAUCCAAGCCUCAGGUCACCAAGAGAAUCUUGUCUCCCCGCUCCCCCCCAUAGCAAGUCUAUAUUACACAUUCUCAUAGACACGGGAAAUCUUCUCUCUGGCACAUAGUCCAAUUCUUUGGUCUUAUCUGUUUACAGGGCUGUCUGUCUCCCCCCACUACACUGUGAGCCCCAUGAGGACAGAGACUGUGUUUGUAUUUUCCCAGCACUCAUGCAUGGCCUUGCACACAGCAGGUGCUCAAUAAAUGUUUGUUGAAUCAGUAAAGGCAUCAGAGGAUAAAACAACGUAUCAGUCAAUAAAGGAAUUGAUGGUUUCAGCAUGCA